GACGAACGCUUGCGGCGUGCUUAACACAUGCAAGUCGAACGGAAAGGCCCUGCUUUUGUGGGGUGCUCGAGUGGCGAACGGGUGAGUAACACGUGAGUAACCUGCCCUUGACUUUGGGAUAACUUCAGGAAACUGGGGCUAAUACCGGAUAGGAGCUCCUGCUGCAUGGUGGGGGUUGGAAAGUUUCGGCGGUUGGGGAUGGACUCGCGGCUUAUCAGCUUGUUGGUGGGGUAGUGGCUUACCAAGGCUUUGACGGGUAGCCGGCCUGAGAGGGUGACCGGCCACAUUGGGACUGAGAUACGGCCCAGACUCCUACGGGAGGCAGCAGUGGGGAAUAUUGCACAAUGGGCGGAAGCCUGAUGCAGCAACGCCGCGUGCGGGAUGACGGCCUUCGGGUUGUAAACCGCUUUCGCCUGUGACGAAGCGUGAGUGACGGUAAUGGGUAAAGAAGCACCGGCUAACUACGUGCCAGCAGCCGCGGUGAUACGUAGGGUGCGAGCGUUGUCCGGAUUUAUUGGGCGUAAAGGGCUCGUAGGUGGUUGAUCGCGUCGGAAGUGUAAUCUUGGGGCUUAACCCUGAGCGUGCUUUCGAUACGGGUUGACUUGAGGAAGGUAGGGGAGAAUGGAAUUCCUGGUGGAGCGGUGGAAUGCGCAGAUAUCAGGAGGAACACCAGUGGCGAAGGCGGUUCUCUGGGCCUUUCCUGACGCUGAGGAGCGAAAGCGUGGGGAGCGAACAGGCUUAGAUACCCUGGUAGUCCACGCUGUAAACGGUGGGUACUAGGUGUGGGGUCCAUUCCACGGGUUCCGUGCCGUAGCUAACGCUUUAAGUACCCCGCCUGGGGAGUACGGCCGCAAGGCUAAAGCUCAAAGGAAUUGACGGGGCCCCGCACAAGCGGCGGAGCAUGCGGAUUAAUUCGAUGCAACGCGUAGAACCUUACCUGGGUUUGACAUGGAUCGGGAGUGCUCAGAGAUGGGUGUGCCUCUUUUGGGGUCGGUUCACAGGUGGUGCAUGGCUGUCGUCAGCUCGUGUCGUGAGAUGUUGGGUUAAGUCCCGCAACGAGCGCAACCCUUGUUCACUGUUGCCAGCACGUUAUGGUGGGGACUCAGUGGAGACCGCCGGGGUCAACUCGGAGGAAGGUGGGGAUGACGUCAAGUCAUCAUGCCCCUUAUGUCCAGGGCUUCACGCAUGCUACAAUGGCUGGUACAGAGAGUGGCGAGCCUGUGAGGGUGAGCGAAUCUCGGAAAGCCGGUCUCAGUUCGGAUUGGGGUCUGCAACUCGACCUCAUGAAGUCGGAGUCGCUAGUAAUCGCAGAUCAGCAACGCUGCGGUGAAUACGUUCCCGGG
rnacentral:rRNA from 1 species